rnacentral:tRNA from 1 species
GGAAGUGUAGUUUAAAAAAAACUCUAAGAUUGCAAAUCUUUGAAUAUAUUACUUAUAUCACUUCUU